UCGAACGGUUGUCAGCAAUGGCAAUAGUGGCGCACGGGUGCGUAACGCGUAACCAACCUACCCGAAUCUGGGGGAUAGCCCGCCGAAAGGCGGAUUAAUACCGCAUAAAACUGCAGGACGGCAUCGUUUAACAGUUAAAGAUUUAUUGGAUUCGGAUGGGGUUGCGUGCCAUUAGCUAGUUGGGGGGGUAACGGCCCACCAAGGCGACGAUGGCUAGGGGAGCUGAGAGGCUGGUCCCCCACACGGGCACUGAGAUACGGGCCCGACUCCUACGGGAGGCAGCAGUAGGGAAUAUUGGGCAAUGGUCGAGAGACUGACCCAGCCAUGCCGCGUGCAGGAUGAAGGCUUUCUGAGUCGUAAACUGCUUUUGCCAGGGAAAAAAAAAGGGGAUGCGUCCUCUACUGACGGUACCUGGUGAAUAAGCACCGGCUAACUCCGUGCCAGCAGCCGCGGUAAUACGGAGGGUGCAAGCGUUGUCCGGAUUUAUUGGGUUUAAAGGGUGCGUAGGCGGCUUUUUAAGUCUGGGGUGAAAGCCCGUUGCUCAACAACGGAACUGCCCUGGAAACUGGAGAGCUUGAGUACAGACGAGGGUGGCGGAAUGGAUACUGUAGCGGUGAAAUGCAUAGAUAGUAUCCAGAACCCCGAUUGCGAAGGCAGCUGCCUAGACUGUAACUGACGCUGAGGCACGAAAGCGUGGGGAGCGAACAGGAUUAGAUACCC
rnacentral:rRNA from 1 species